rnacentral:rRNA from 1 species
UACGUAGGUGGCAAGCGUUGUCCGGAUUUAUUGGGUUUUAAGGGUGCGUAGGCGGCAUUUUAAGUCAGUGGUGAAAUACGGCAGCUUAACUGUCGAGGUGCCAUUGAUACUGGGAUGCUUGAGUACUGAUGAGGUAGGCGGAAUGGACGGUGUAGCGGUGAAAUGCUUAGAUAUCGUCCAGAACACCGAUAGCGAAGGCAGCUUACUAAGGAGUAACUGACGCUGAGGCACGAAAGUGUGGGGAUCAAACAGG